rnacentral:rRNA from 1 species
CCAAUAGCGUAUAUUAAAGUUGUUGCAGUUAAAAAGCUCGUAGUUGAAUUUCGGGAUCAAUAUUUCGGUCAUGCCGUUGGUAUGCACUGUUAUCAUUGAUUUCUCACCUUCUAAGGAACCGUAAUGCCAUUAAUUUGGUGUUACGGGGAAUUAGGACUGUUACCUUGAAAAAAUUAGAGUGUUUAAAGCAGGCUCACGCUUGAAUAAUUUAGCAGGGAAGAAGGAAAUAGGACAUCCGAUUCAAUUUUGUGGGUUUCUAGGAUCGAUGUAAUGAUUAAUAGGGAUAGUUGGGGGCAUUAGUAUUCAAUUGUCAGAGGUGAAAUUCUUGGAUUUAUUGAAGACUAACUACUGCGAAAGCAUUUGCCAAGGACGUUUUCAUUAAUCAAGAACGAAAGUUAGGGGAUCGAAGACGAUCAGAUACCGUCGUAGUCUUAACCAUAAACUAUGCCGACUAGGGAUCGGAUGAUGUUAAUUUUUUAAUGACUCAUUCGGCGCCUUACG